UACGGAGGGAGCAAGCGUUACUCGGAAUUAUUGGGCGUAAAGGGCGCGUAGGCGAUUUAACAAGUCUUGUGUGAAAGCCCCCGGGCUUAACUCGGGAAGUGCACAAGAAACUGUUGAAUUUGAGUUCCGGAGAGGAAGGCAGAAUUCCCGGUGUAGCGGUGAAAUGCGUAGAUAUCGGGAGGAAUACCAGUGGCGAAGGCGGCCUUCUGGACGGAUACUGACGCUGAGGCGCGAAAGCCAGGGGAGCAAAGCGGGAUUAGAUGACCCUA
rnacentral:rRNA from 1 species